CUGCCCAAUGAGGAAUUAAAUGGCCGCGGUACUUUGACCGUGCAAAGGUAGCAUAAUCAUUAGUUUUUUAAUUGAAAGCUGGAAUGAAGGGUUGGAUGAGAGAGUAACUGUCUCUAUUUAAAUUAUUUAGAAAUUUAUCUUUAAGUAAGAAAGCUUAAAUUUUGAUAGAAGACGAGAAGACCCUAUAGAGUUUUAUAAAUUUUGAUUUAGAGAGAUUUAAGAAUUAAUAAAUUUUUAUGUUAAGAUUUAUUUAGUUGGGGCGAUUGAAAAAUUUAAUGAACUUUUUUUAAAUAUUUAAACAUUAAUUUAUGAUUGGAUGAUCCUUAUUUAAAGAUUAAAAGAAAAAAUUACCUUAGGGAUAACAGCGUAAUUUUUUUAAAGAGUUCAAAUCGAAAAAAAAGAUUGCGACCUCGAUGUUGGAUUAAAAUAAAAUUUUGGUGUAGAAGCUAAAAUAUUUGGGUCUGUUCGACCCUUAAAAUUUUACAUGAUCUGAGUUUAAACCGGUGU
rnacentral:rRNA from 1 species